ensembl:lncRNA
GUGGAUGGCAGCGCCUGCCUGCUUGCCUCCAGACUGUGCUUAAUCAUGCACGACCAGUGAGUGACCUGUUUUUAUUCAUGAGUAAAUGGUUAUGAUUAUAGUAACUGUUGAGGGAUACUGGAAGUUCCAGAGCUGACUUUGAACAGGAACUAGCGCUGAACCUAAUGACUAAAUUAGUUUCAGGCAUGUAGUCCAGGUGAGCAUAAUUACAGAGAUAAAUGGGCCAGGUAAGUGACAGUGGCUUGUGGAAUACUAUCAUGGGACAGGGCAUUUGUGGUGGAAAUCCCAGUGUUGCUACACCCCAUAUAUUCUAGAAGAACACACGCUUCCUCUGAGAUAAGCAGAGAAGUGAGUGCCUUGGGCAAGUGCCGAGCUGCGGGAUGAGAAAUGGUGCACCUGUGUGCUGUCUAAAGAUAGGCUAGCAGUGGAGGGCCAGGGAGCAGACUCCAGAGGACCCAUCCGUCUCAAUCGAAGGCUGCAGCUGACACCUUACAAAGAGGCCCGGAGAGGACCGUCCCGCCUGAAACACUGUCACAGCUCGUCUGACUGGCAGUUCAAGAGCUCUUCAUUAGAAUCCCGCUGGGUCUACGGCAAAGAAAAACAAUGUGGUUGGCCCAGGACCUGUAACCUUCCCAUUUAAUCACUGCUUCAAACUGCAUUGUCUCUCCCCACUGUGGGAGCUGGUUUCCAAGGCUCUGCUGAGACUCCUAGGCAAACAACCUCCAAUCUGAACGGGCUAACACAUCUCUCUCUGUGUCACACUGGCACACAAGGAGCUUUAGGUCUCUUUACAGCUCGAUUAGCACACAUUUUAUUAGCAACACAUGCUGUAAUGCAUAUACCAUCGCAUGUUAUUGCUUGUUUAAAGAAAUAUCAGAUGCUGAAUUAAUGUGCUGUGUUUUUACACAAACAGAUGCUUUUGGCAAACAAAUGGAGCUUGCCAGAAGAGGCG